GCCAAUCAAACCUGGAGAUAGCUGGUUCUCCCCGAAAGCUAUUUAGGUAGCGCCUCGGACGAAUACUACUGGGGGUAGAGCACUGUUAAGGCUAGGGGGUCAUCCCGACUUACCAACCCUUUGCAAACUCCGAAUACCAGUAAGUACUAUCCGGGAGACACACGGCGGGUGCUAACGUCCGUCGUGGAGAGGGAAACAACCCAGACCGCCAGCUAAGGUCCCAAAUUAUUACUAAGUGGGAAACGAUGUGGGAAGGCUCAGACAGCCAGGAUGUUGGCUUAGAAGCAGCCAUCAUUUAAAGAAAGCGUAAUAGCUCACUGGUCGAGUCGGCCUGCGCGGAAGAUGUAACGGGGCUAAGUAAUAAACCGAAGCUGCGGCAAUGAAGUUUACUUCAUUGGGUAGGGGAGCGUUCUGUAAGCCGUUGAAGGUGUGUUGUAAAGCAUGCUGGAGGUAUCAGAAGUGCGAAUGCUGACAUGAGUAACGAUAAAGGGGGUGAAAAACCUCCUCGCCGGAAGACCAAGGGUUCCUGUCCAACGUUAAUCGGGGCAGGGUAAGUCGACCCCUAAGGCGAGGCCGAAAGGCGUAGUCGAUGGGAAACGGGUUAAUAUUCCCGUACUUCUUACAAUUGCGAUGGGGGGACGGAGAAGGCUAGGUGGGCCUGGCGACGGUUGUCCAGGUUCAAGUGCGUAGGCUGAAGAGUUAGGUAAAUCCGGCUCUUCUUAAGGCUGAGACACGACGUCGAGCUACUACGGUAGUGAAGUCAUUGAUGCCAUGCUUCCAGGAAAAGCCUCUAAGCUUCAGAUUGUAAGGAAUCGUACCCCAAACCGACACAGGUGGUCGGGUAGAGAAUACCAAGGCGCUUGAGAGAACUCGGGUGAAGGAACUAGGCAAAAUGGUACCGUAACUUCGGGAGAAGGUACGCUCUUGAUGGUGAAGUCCCUUGCGGAUGGAGCUGACGAGAGUCGCAGAUACCAGGUGGCUGCAACUGUUUAUUAAAAACACAGCACUGUGCAAAAUCGUAAGAUGACGUAUACGGUGUGACGCCUGCCCGGUGCCGGAAGGUUAAUUGAUGGGGUUAGACUUCGGUCGAAGCUCUUGAUCGAAGCCCCGGUAAACGGCGGCCGUAACUAUAACGGUCCUAAGGUAGCGAAAUUCCUUGUCGGGUAAGUUCCGACCUGCACGAAUGGCGUAAUGAUGGCCACGCUGUCUCCACCCGAGACUCAGUGAAAUUGAAAUCGCUGUGAAGAUGCAGUGUACCCGCGGCUAGACGGAAAGACCCCGUGAACCUUUACUACAGCUUGGCACUGAACAUUGACCCUACAUGUGUAGGAUAGGUGGGAGGCUUUGAAGCGCAGUCGCUAGAUUGCGUGGAGCCGUCCUUGAAAUACCACCCUUGUAGUGUUGAUGUUCUAACGUCGACCCCUUAUCGGGGUUGCGGACAGUGCCUGGUGGGUAGUUUGACUGGGGCGGUCUCCUCCCAAAGAGUAACGGAGGAGCACGAAGGUGGGCUAAUCACGGUUGGACAUCGUGAGGUUAGUGCAAUGGCAUAAGCCCGCUUGACUGCGAGAAUGACAAUUCGAGCAGGUGCGAAAGCAGGUCAUAGUGAUCCGGUGGUUCUGUAUGGAAGGGCCAUCGCUCAACGGAUAAAAGGUACUCCGGGGAUAACAGGCUGAUACCGCCCAAGAGUUCAUAUCGACGGCGGUGUUUGGCACCUCGAUGUCGGCUCAUCACAUCCUGGGGCUGAAGUCGGUCCCAAGGGUAUGGCUGUUCGCCAUUUAAAGUGGUACGCGAGCUGGGUUUAGAACGUCGUGAGACAGUUCGGUCCCUAUCUGCCGUGGGCGUUGGAAGAUUGAAGGGGGCUGCUCCUAGUACGAGAGGACCGGAGUGGACGAACCUCUGGUGUUCGGGUUGUGUCGCCAGACGCAUUGCCCGGUAGCUAAGUUCGGAAUCGAUAACCGCUGAAAGCAUCUAAGCGGGAAGCGAGCCCUGAGAUGAGUCUUCCCUGAUACUUUAAGUAUCCUAAAGGGUUGU
rnacentral:rRNA from 1 species